GAUGAACGCUAGCGAUAGGCCUAACACAUGCAAGUCGAGGGGCAGCACGUCUUCGGAUGGUGGCGACCGGCGCACGGGUGAGUAACACGUAUGCAACCUACCUUCUAUACGGGGAUAACCCGGAGAAAUCCGGACUAAUACCCGAUAAUACAGGGGUCCCGCAUGGGAAUAUUUGUUAAAGAUUUAUUGGUAGAAGAUGGGCAUGCGUUCCAUUAGCUAGUUGGUGAGGUAACGGCUCACCAAGGCUACGAUGGAUAGGGGAACUGAGAGGUUUAUCCCCCACACUGGAACUGAGACACGGUCCAGACUCCUACGGGAGGCAGCAGUGAGGAAUAUUGGUCAAUGGAGGCAACUCUGAACCAGCCAAGUCGCGUGAAGGAUGAAGGUCUUAUGGAUUGUAAACUUCUUUUGUAAGGGAAUAAAGUGAGCCACGAGUGGUUUUCUGCAUGUACCUUACGAAUAAGGAUCGGCUAACUCCGUGCCAGCAGCCGCAGUAAAAC
rnacentral:rRNA from 1 species